rnacentral:rRNA from 1 species
UUGACCUCGAAUCAGGUGGGACUACCCGCUGAACUUAAGCAUAUCAAUAAGCGGAGGAAAAGAAACUAACAAGGAUUCCCCUAGUAACGGCGAGUGAAGCGGGAAGAGCUCAAAUUUAAAAUCUGGCAGUCUUUGGUUGCCCGAAUUGUAAUCUAGAGAAGCGUUUUCCGUGCUGAC